UUUUCCUCAGAAGUGUCCGGGACCCCCUCGCCCCCUGGUCUGCACCGCCCGGCUCCUUCCCCCGCCCCGUGUCCGAGCCUCAGUGCCAGGGAGCUGGGCCCGGGCCCGGGCCCGGGGCGGUUCCCGGGGCCCAGGGUAGCAAUGUGAAGCAUCCCGUCCGCAGGGGGGGGCUUUGGGGACCUUCCGUCCAAAGGGAAAAGGGGAUCUCGGACCACAACGCUCCAAAACUACUGUGCCUAAAUUAAAUUUAAAAAAAAAAAGUCAUGAUAAUAGAACCGCAGUUUCCAUUAUUGAGCAAAAUCACAUCCUGCCAGGACUGAAAAGAUUUGAGAUCCACCAGGAAACAUGUUUGUGGCAAUCCAGACGCUACAUUAUAGAUUUUAAACCACAUUUCCAGACCCAUUUCAUUGUCACUUCCUGCAACUUCAUUGGUGUCAAAGGUCACGGGACCUCACUGGAAGACGUCAAACAUAGUUGAACUUACAGCCUUAUUGGUCAUUCUGAAUCAAUUUCUCGGUGCCUCCACAGAAUGUCUAAAAUACUUGCAUAGAAGUUGAAAACGGGUAUCUUUGAAUGUAAAGGUUCUUGCCUAUUCAGUACUAAAUUACAGAAUGCAAGCUUUAUAAAAGUCCUACAUUUCAAAAUAACCAAGGAAGCUAUUAAUUUUUUGUCAACUAUGAGGCAAACAUUUUUUAUGGACCCUAAUUAGUCAACUCCUUUGAAGAUUACCUUUCUUUGCUGCAAACUCUUUAAAAUAUCGUGUUGACUAUUAAAACUAUUUUUACUGGA